rnacentral:rRNA from 1 species
AGGGUUGGGCUGUUCGCCCAUUAAAGUGGUACGCGAGCUGGGUUCAGAACGUCGUGAGACAGUUCGGUCCCUAUCCGUCGCAGGCGUAGGAAAUUUGAGAAGACCUAUCCUUAGUACGAGAGGACCGGGAUGGACGUACCUCUGGUGUACCAGUUGUCCUGCCAAGGGCAUGGCUGGGUAGCUAUGUACGGAAUGGAUAAGCGCUGAAAGCAU